GACGAACGCUGGCGGCGUGCUUAACACAUGCAAGUCGAACGGAAAGGCCCUGCUUUUGUGGGGUGCUCGAGUGGCGAACGGGUGAGUAACACGUGAGUAACCUGCCCUUGACUUUGGGAUAACUUCAGGAAACUGGGGCGAAUACCGGAUAGGAGCUCCUGCUGCAUGGGGGGGGUUGGAAAGUUUCGGCGGUUGGGGAUGGACUCGCGGCUUAUCAGCUUGUUGGUGGGGUAGUGGCUUACCAAGGCUUUGACGGGUAGCCGGCCUGAGAGGGUGACCGGCCACAUUGGGACUGAGAUACGGCCCAGACUCCUACGGGAGGCAGCAGUGGGGAAUAUUGCACAAUGGGCGGAAGCCUGAUGCAGCAACGCCGCGUGCGGGAUGACGGCCUUCGGGUUGUAAACCGCUUUCGCCUGUGACGAAGCGUGAGUGACGGUAAUGGGUCAAGAAGCACCGGCUAACUACGUG
rnacentral:rRNA from 1 species